UACGUAGGCAGCAAGCGUUGUUCGGAGUUACUGGGCGUAAAGGGUGUGUAGGCGGUUCUCUAAGUCUGGUGUGAAAUCUCCCGGCUCAACUGGGAGGGUGCGCCGAAAACUGGAGGACUAGAGUGCGGGAUGGGAGAGUGGAAUUCCUGGUGUAGCGGUGAAAUGCGUAGAUAUCAGGAGGAACACCGGUGGUGUAGACGGCUUUCUGGACCGUAACUGACGCUGAGACACGAAAGCGUGGGUAGCAAACAGG
rnacentral:rRNA from 1 species